GUCAACUACCCCCACCUAAGAGGUGAGGGCUUGAAAAAGCCUUAGUUGAUUAGCCUAAGUAUUAAGUUACUACGUUA
rnacentral:ncRNA from 1 species